rnacentral:rRNA from 1 species
CCAGACUCCUACGGGAGGCAGCAGUGGGGAAUAUUGCACAAUGGGGGAAACCCUGAUGCAGCGACGCCGCGUGAGUGAAGAAGUAAUUCGUUACGUAAAGCUCUAUCAGCAGGGAAGAGAGUGACGGUACCUGAGUAAGAAGCCACGGCUAACUACGUGCCAGCAGCCGCGGUAAUACGUAGGUGGCAAGCGUUGUCCGGAUUUACUGGGUGUAAAGGGCGUGUAGCCGGGCUGACAAGUCAGAUGUGAAAUUCCGGGGCUCAACCCCGGACCUGCAUUUGAAACUGUUGGUCUUGAGUAUCGGAGAGGCAGGCGGAAUUCCUAGUGUAGCGGUGAAAUGCGUAGAUAUUAGGAGGAACACCAGUGGCGAAGGCGGCCUGCUGGACGACAACUGACGGUGAGGCGCGAAAGCGUGGGGAGCAAACAGGAUUAGAUACCCGCGUAGAC